CAGUCGCCGCGGGAAUACAGAGGGUGCGAGCGUUAAUCGGAUUUACUGGGCGUAAAGCGUGCGUAGGUGGUGGUUUAAGUCCGUUGUGAAAGCCCUGGGCUCAACCUGGGAAUUGCAGUGGAUACUGGGUCACUAGAGUGUGGUAGAGGAUAGUGGAAUUUCCGGUGUAGCAGUGAAAUGCGUAGAGAUCGGAAGGAACAUCUGUGGCGAAGGCGACUAUCUGGGCCAACACUGACACUGAGGCACGAAAGCGUGGGGAGCAAACAGGAUUAGAUACCCCAGUAGUCCCUGUCUCUUAUAC
rnacentral:rRNA from 1 species